AAAUUGAAGAGUUUGAUCAUGGCUCAGAUUGAACGCUGGCGGCAGGCCUAACACAUGCAAGUCGAACGGUAACAGGAAGCAGCUUGCUGCUUCGCUGACGAGUGGCGGACGGGUGAGUAAUGUCUGGGAAACUGCCUGAUGGAGGGGGAUAACUACUGGAAACGGUGGCUAAUACCGCAUAACGUCGCAAGACCAAAGAGGGGGACCUUAGGGCCUCUUGCCAUCAGAUGUGCCCAGAUGGGAUUAGCUUGUUGGUGAGGUAACGGCUCACCAAGGCGACGAUCCCUAGCUGGUCUGAGAGGAUGACCAGCCACACUGGAACUGAGACACGGUCCAGACUCCUACGGGAGGCAGCAGUGGGGAAUAUUGCACAAUGGGCGCAAGCCUGAUGCAGCCAUGCCGCGUGUAUGAAGAAGGCCUUCGGGUUGUAAAGUACUUUCAGCGGGGAGGAAGGUGUUGUGGUUAAUAACCGCAGCAAUUGACGUUACCCGCAGAAGAAGCACCGGCUAACUCCGUGCCAGCAGCCGCGGUAAUACGGAGGGUGCAAGCGUUAAUCGGAAUUACUGGGCGUAAAGCGCACGCAGGCGGUCUGUCAAGUCGGAUGUGAAAUCCCCGGGCUCAACCUGGGAACUGCAUUCGAAACUGGCAGGCUUGAGUCUUGUAGAGGGGGGUAGAAUUCCAGGUGUAGCGGUGAAAUGCGUAGAGAUCUGGAGGAAUACCGGUGGCGAAGGCGGCCCCCUGGACAAAGACUGACGCUCAGGUGCGAAAGCGUGGGGAGCAAACAGGAUUAGAUACCCUGGUAGUCCACGCCGUAAACGAUGUCUACUUGGAGGUUGUGCCCUUGAGGCGUGGCUUCCGGAGCUAACGCGUUAAGUAGACCGCCUGGGGAGUACGGCCGCAAGGUUAAAACUCAAAUGAAUUGACGGGGGCCCGCACAAGCGGUGGAGCAUGUGGUUUAAUUCGAUGCAACGCGAAGAACCUUACCUGGUCUUGACAUCCACAGAACUUUCCAGAGAUGGAUUGGUGCCUUCGGGAACUGUGAGACAGGUGCUGCAUGGCUGUCGUCAGCUCGUGUUGUGAAAUGUUGGGUUAAGUCCCGCAACGAGCGCAACCCUUAUCCUUUGUUGCCAGCGAUUAGGUCGGGAACUCAAAGGAGACUGCCAGUGAUAAACUGGAGGAAGGUGGGGAUGACGUCAAGUCAUCAUGGCCCUUACGACCAGGGCUACACACGUGCUACAAUGGCGCAUACAAAGAGAAGCGACCUCGCGAGAGCAAGCGGACCUCAUAAAGUGCGUCGUAGUCCGGAUUGGAGUCUGCAACUCGACUCCAUGAAGUCGGAAUCGCUAGUAAUCGUGGAUCAGAAUGCCACGGUGAAUACGUUCCCGGGCCUUGUACACACCGCCCGUCACACCAUGGGAGUGGGUUGCAAAAGAAGUAGGUAGCUUAACCUUCGGGAGGGCGCUUACCACUUUGUGAUUCAUGACUGGGGUGAAGUCGUAACAAGGUAACCGUAGGGGAACCUGCGGUUGGAUCACCUCCUUACCUUAAAGAA
rnacentral:rRNA from 1 species